GUUUUUUGGAAACUGACUAUUUUAUUUUUCUUUGCUACACGAUUUGCAUUACAGAUGCUCUAAAGCAAAAGAUUGGUGUAGAACUAACACCAUGAGCCAAUGGGGAUGAUGAGAAGAAUCUUCAACUCCAAGGUACCGAAUCAGUUUGGCCACAAUUUGUAGUGUGUCAAUGGUGGCUGAGGACACGGCACGAGCAUAACGCUGCCGCUACAAGGAAGACCUGACGAGCUUCACUGUUGAACAUAUCCCUAGUCUAUACAGCAGGUCACUUGCUUGUAAUCGAAUGUUCAUUUCAGAAUCAGAACUACUAAUCCUUCAUAGCCUUGAUUAAUUUGGCUGAAAUUUUGGUGUCUAAUUGAGGGAUGCUCAAUUAGACAGCCUUGGCCAGGAUAUUGUGCUUAUUUCUUCACAUAAUGAAUCUCUGAGAUGUCAUGAAGAAAGACAGCCUUGGCCAAAUUACUACAAGGGCAGAACCAAGUGGUACUGUUCCUAGCUUCUGAACAUAAUGCAUUUCAUUUCAGCUUGGUGGAAAGAAGGGAUAAGAUACGGAGGACUGGAGACGUGCUCGAGUGAAGCAGAAUAGAAAAUAGCAGCGAUAGAAAAGGAGGAAACAAAGAGGAUUUAUGCCACUUGCCAGCGGCAACCUCCGCAGAAGGAAGCACGGAUUCAGAUGACACUAACUGGUAUGUUAUGUUUCUGUGUGACACCAUGGGAGCUUUGUUUCUGUCCACUGUAGAUAUGGUCUAAAUCAAGACCAAAAUUAUUAAAUCGGAAAGAUCCAAGAGCAAAAGCUAGAAGAAAUGUUUCCAGUUUGUUUAUUUCAGUGAAAUUACCCAUUUGCAGUCCAAUUGAUAACUGUAAACUGAAGAACAAACACCGCAGGGGCAGUAGGUUAAUAAAGUGCAACCUAUGAUUCAUAAGAUCGUUCUUACCUUUAUUUUCAAGCUCAGCCUAUGCACCCUAUAAAAACAUGACACAUCCUAGCUGAUAGGCGUUGUUAAAUCUAAUUCCUAUGAAUUAGUAAAAUAGAGGCAACAUUAGUAGCACUAUCUCAUUUGAUCGACUGUUUCAACAAUAGCUACAGACUAAGAUGGCUAAUAUAGGGUCCUUCUUUUUUAUGAGUUAAAUUUACUGAAACAACAACUGCUAAUGAGUUUGGAUUUUCUUCUAAUUAAGUUCAAUCACAAUAAGAGAUCUUACCCUUGAUAACAGCUCAUGCUAUAUCUCUGUCCAUUAAAAAAAUAAAGUAUCAAUUGAGUAUUUACUUUUAGUACAUUCCUAACAAAUCCUUGAUGCUACUUACCUACCUUUUAACUAAAAAAUUCCUAGGAGAAAUAAAACGAUAAUAUGUUUGUGUAGUAGCAUAAUUAACUGCUCAACGAAUGUAGAAUCUGAGAUCUGUUAUAACUAUCAUUGCAUGACAUAUUUUCGUUUCCAAUAAAAAUAUAAGCGGAACACAACAAACGAUGUACCAAAAAGGCAUACUACUAAAGAGCGGACACAUGAUCAACUGGACCGUGAUUUAAAUAACAGAUCAGUGUGCCCUGAAUGCAAGUAUGUAAAGUCACAUAAGUUGAAAAACCAUCUAACGACUGCAAAUAUUGUACAUUAAGAUAAGCUAAAAACCAUCUAAUAUGAAAGAAUACAUAGAUUGCAUGACUCAGAUGAAAUGUACCUCACUGGAAAUGAAUGCCCAGCCUAUGUCAUUAUGAUCCAGAAUGGGAACAACUGGACCAAAAUGAGAAAGGGAAACCAGCCUAUGCCAUUAUGAUCCAGAAUGGGAACAACUGAACCGGGAAACCAUGAGAUGUAUGCAAAUACCCACAAAGCUAAGCAAAUGGUACUAACCAGUAACCACUAUAAAGAAAAACUAUCCUUGAACACUAAACGGUAAAAUAUACUCUGACUAUUUUAGCAAGUAAUUAUCUCAUGGUAUCGACAUAGUCAAUACACCAAUCUGAUAAUUCUGACAACCUCCACACUGAAAGAGGAUACCAAUAUUUUGACAAAGUACAUCAUGAAUGGCUUUGUGCAUUAGAAGAACCAUGCAUAUAUUUCUUAAAUGUGUCGAUUUGAGGAUAAAUAAUUGUGUACCAUAUACCAUCAUCACAUGCCACUAAAAAGAGAGAAACAAAGUUCACUUAGAACCGGAUAAGUAGCUCACCUCUGAGAUGAUGGUACCUCUCACAUUGCGUUGGUAGGUGAAAUUAGACAUGUAGGGUCCAAUUUAAUAAACCCGUAAAGGAAUUAUGUGCCUCCUUGAUCCCAACUCGUAGCUGCAGUUCCAACUCGUAUUACAGACAUGAUGUAAUAAUAUAUAUAAGGAAGUUAACACCUGAAACCAAAUGCAUCAUAGUGAAGAUUUUUUUAGGGAAAUUACCUAAAAUUGGGCACGUUGCCCCGUAUCAAGGAAUAGUAAAAACAUCAAUGGAUAUUCAUCGUCUGUCCUGUAAAAUCAACACACAAGAGGCUUACCACAAUACAGAAAUAACCAUCUUUCUAGAGCAUUUUUUGCCCUUAGGCAUUUACACAAACACCUUCCCUGCACGCCUGUAAUCUCACAACAAGGGAGCAAAUAAGAAGAUGUAUUAGGAAGGAGAUGGGAAGCCAAGGCAAAUAAAUAAAAGCAUGCAAAAUUAGCAACAGCUUGUUUCGGCCAAUAUCCCGGACGGACGAACCGUUUUGCCCCUGCUCUCUCUCCCAGGCGGCGGGCAGCAGAUCCCAUCUCCACCGGCGUGAGAUCUGGGCCCCUCUCCCUCCGCUUGCCGCUCCGGCGGCAAGAGGGGGAGGGGACCUCGUUUCUCCUUCGUUUUGUAGUUAGGACUUGUCUGCUGUGGUGCGUCGUUGGGGUGGUGGGAGCGGCGCCCGGGCAAAUAAAUCUGCCUCAACUCCACUCCCACACCGGCGGCGACCUUCAUGUCGGCGUCUCGGAGUUGUUGGCAAAGUGUGCUUGUCGAUCUUUCAGGUCGGCAGCUUGGUCUUCUCGCCGUUCUUCAGAUCUGGCGAGAUCUGUUUCUCGACGUGUCACUGGCGUUUGUCGUUGUCCACGACGAUGCUGGGGGCCGGUGCGAGGUGGUUCUUCUGGAGCGAAGAUGUUGGUCCGGAGGUGGUGGAUAUGCCGUUCUUCUCCGACUUCGUCGAUGGGAGGCGGUGUAUCUUGGUCCAAGAGAGCACGGGGACGUCCCCCGGUCGACGUGCCACAGCGACAUGUGCCUCGCUGCUUGCAGCAGGCCUGUUCAUCGACUCACAAAGCCUCGUUGGCGAUGGUGCCUUUUUGGAUCUUGCAAUGGUGGAGGCUCGGGCGUCUCUUCUUGCGUUCGUCUCGGCGGCGGUGGAUUUAGACGGCGGCCGCUGUCUAUGGUGGUUGCAGGAAACUCUAAGGAUCGUUUUGUAUUUCUCGAUCUUUUAGGAUUUUCUCUGCAAAUUCAGGAUAAUCAUUUUAUCCCGAUUUGU